CUGUCUGCUUUUGAAGUGUGUUAUUGUUCAUUCAUUGUUCUUUAUGAUGUUCUUCGAGGAUUUAUCUUUGUAAAAUGUGUUAAUGAUACUUUCAUUAUGAUGUUCUUUGAGGUUUUAUCUUUGCGAAAAUGGAAUUUUCAUUAUGAUGUUCUUUAUGAUGAUGUUCUUCGAGGUUUUAUCUUUGCGACAAUGUUAUUUUCAUUAUGAUGUUCUUUAUGAUGAUGUUCUUCGAGAUUUUAUCUUUGCGACAAUGUUAUUUCAUUAUGAUGUUCUUUAUGAUGAUGUUUUUCGAGGUUUUAUCUUUGCGACAAUGUUAUUUUCAUGAUGAUGCUCUUUAUGAUGAUGUUCUUCGCAGUUUUAUCUUUGCGGCAAUGUUAUUUUCAUGAUGAUGUUCUUUAUGAUGAUGUUCUUCGAGGUUUUAUCUUUGCGACAAUGUUAUUUUCAUGAUGAUGUUCUUUAUGGAAGUUCUUUGAUGUUUUAUCUUUGCGACAAUGUUAUUUUCAUUAUGAUGUUCUUUAAGGUUUUAUCUUUGCGACAAUGUUAUUUUCAUUAUGAUGUUCUUGGAGGUUUUAUCUUUGCGACAAUGUUAUUUUCAUUAUGAUGUUCUUCGAGGUUUUAUCUUUGUGACAAUGUUAUUUUCAUUAUGAUGUUCUUCGAGGUUUUAUCUUUGCGACAAUGGAAUUUUCAUUAUGAUGUUCUUCAAGGUUUUAUCUUUGCGACAAUGUUAUUUUCAUUAUGAUGUUCUUUAUGAUCAUGUUCUUCGAGAUUUUAUCUUUGCGACAAUGUUAUUUCAUUAUGAUGUUCUUUACGAUGAUGUUCUUUGAUGUUUUAUCUUUGCGACAAUGUUAUUUUCAUGAUGAUGUUCUUUGAGGUUUUAUCUUUGCGAAAAUGGAAUUUUCAUUAUGAUGAUGUUCUUCGCGGUUUUAUCUUUGCGGCAAUGUUAUUUCCAUGAUGAUGUUCUUUAUGGAAGUUCUUUGAUGUUUUAUCUUUGCGACAAUGUUAUUUUCAUUAUGAUGUUCUUCGAGGUUUUAUCUUUGCGACAAUGUUAUUUUCAUUACUUGUCCUAAUACUGUUCCCCAUGCCAUCAUUUUGGUUUC